rnacentral:rRNA from 1 species
AGAGUUUGAUCCUGGCUCAGGAUGAACGCUAGCGGCAGGCCUAAUACAUGCAAGUCGAACGGGAGUAGCAAUACUCUAGUGGCGCACGGGUGCGUAACGCGUAUGCAACCUACCUUUCAGUGGGGGAUAGCCCGGGGAAACCCGGAUUAAUACCGCAUAAGAUAGUUGACUGGCAUCAGUUAAUUAUGAAACAUUUAUGGCUGAAAGAUGGGCAUGCGUUAGAUUAGCUAGUUGGUGAGGUAGAGGCUCACCAAGGCUAUGAUCUAUAGGGGUUCUGAGAGGAAGAUCCCCCACACUGGUACUGAGACAGGGACCAGACUCCUACGGGAGGCAGCAGUAGGGAAUAUUGGGCAAUGGAGGCAACUCUGACCCAGCCAUGCCGCGUGCAGGAAGAAGGCCUUCUGGGUUGUAAACUGCUUUUGGAAGGGAACAAAAAGGCUUUGCGAAGCAACUUGAGUGUACCUUCAGAAUAAGCACCGGCUAACUCCGUGCCAGCAGCCGCGGUAAUACGGAGGGUGCAAGCGUUGUCCGGAUUUAUUGGGUUUAAAGGGUGCGUAGGCGGCUUAUUAAGUCAGGGGUGAAAGACUGCAGCUCAACUGUAGCAGUGCCUUUGAUACUGAUGAGCUUGAGUACAGAUGAGGCAGGCGGAAUGGGUGGUGUAGCGGUGAAAUGCAUAGAUACCAUCCAGAACACCGAUUGCGAAGGCAGCCUGCUAAACUGUAACUGACGCUGAGGCACGAAAGCGUGGGGAUCGAACAGGAUUAGAUACCCUAGUAGUCC